rnacentral:rRNA from 1 species
AGCGAACGCUGGCGGCAGGCCUAACACAUGCAAGUCGAACGAACCUUUCGGGGUUAGUGGCGGACGGGUGAGUAACACGUGGGAACGUGCCUUUAGGUUCGGAAUAACUCAGGGAAACUUGUGCUAAUACCGAAUGUGCCCUUCGGGGGAAAGAUUUAUCGCCUUUAGAGCGGCCCGCGUCUGAUUAGCUAGUUGGUUGAGGUAAUGGCUCACCAAGGCGACGAUCAGUAGCUGGUCUGAGAGGAUGAUCAGCCACAUUGGGACUGAGACACGGCCCAAACUCCUACGGGAGGCAGCAGUGGGGAAUCUUGCGCAAUGGGCGAAAGCCUGACGCAGCCAUGCCGCGUGAAUGAUGAAGGUCUUAGGAUUGUAAAAUUCUUUCACCGGGGACGAUAAUGACGGUACCCGGAGAAGAAGCCCCCUCUAACUUCGUG